CAAUAGCGUAUAUUAAAGUUGUUGCAGUUAAAAAGCUCGUAGUUGGAUUUCUGGUGGGAGCGAUCGGUCUGGCGCUUAGCGCGAGUACUUGCAUCGUCUCCGGCCAUCCUUGGGGAAAGUCUGUCUGGCAUUAAGUUGUCGGGCAGAGGAUCCUCAUCGUUUACUGUGAAAAAAUUAGAGUGUUCAAAGCAGGCUUAUGCCGUUGAAUAUAUUAGCAUGGAAUAAUAAGAUAGGACUUUGGUACUAUUUUGUUGGUUUGCGCACCAAAGUAAUGAUUAAUAGGGACAGUUGGGGGUAUUCGUAUUCCGUUGUCAGAGGUGAAAUUCUUGGAUUUACGAAAGACGAACUACUGCGAAAGCAUUUACCAAGGAUGUUUUCAUUAA
rnacentral:rRNA from 1 species